rnacentral:rRNA from 1 species
UACGUAGGGCGCAAGCGUUGUCCGGAAUUAUUGGGCGUAAAGAGCGCGCAGGCGGUCGUUCAAGUCGAGUGUGAAAGCCCCCGGCUCAACUGGGGAGGGUCAUUCGAUACUGAUCGACUCGAAGGCAGGAGAGGGAAGCGGAAUUCCCGGUGUAGUGGUGAAAUGCGUAGAUAUCGGGAGGAACACCAGUGGCGAAGGCGGCUUCCUGGCCUGUUCUUGACGCUGAGGCGCGAAAGCUAGGGGAGCAAACGGG